ensembl:lncRNA
AUCCGUUCCACCUGCACGAUCCGUUCUGCGCAUGUAUAUAUAUCUGUAUAAUCUGAAUGAGGAAAAUAAUCCCUUCAAUGUUGUUUACAGAAGACAAUAAGGAACAUAAUAUGCAUUUCUGCCUAGACUAUCUGCACUUACAUGAAGAAAGAACUACAAACAAGUGUGGGGAAACAUUAUAGAGUAUUUCAAACUGACAAUGGAAAUGACUUGAAAGAAGCAUGUGUGCACACAGAAGUUUUAUUUAAGAGUAAAAAUUCUCUCUCUCUCUCUCUCUCUCUCUCUCUCACACACACACACACACACACACUCUCCCUCCCUCCCUCUCUCUCACACACAUACACACUUUUAAGAGUAAAAAUUUUCUCUCAAACACACACUCUCCCUCCCUCCCUCUCUCUCCCUACACACACUCUCUCUCUCUCCCUCUCUCUCACACACACACACACACACACACUCUCUCUCUCUCUCUCUCUCUCUCUCUCUCUCACACACUCUCUCCCUCUCUCUCUCACACACUCUCUCACACACACAGGGUGCACAGUCACCCAAAUACACUCACACUAACAAAAUGUAUAUGGGUGACUGUGCACGCCAACUCUAGCAUUUACUCUCAGGUUGAGGGUGUCUUUGCAAAUAAUCAUGAAGGUUUCCAUGUCCUGGAUGUUUUCGAAAAUGAACGUGAAAGGCUCCAUGGCUUCGCACUUCAUCGACUCCAUCAGCACCCUCCACGCGUUCCUUUGGUCAUCAUGAUCCAUCAACAUGUAUGAGGGUUCUUGCACCUGGCCAGUGAAAAGCCCAACACUGUUCCUCAUAGGGGUGUCACGAUUCUCCAAAUCCUCGAUUCGAUUGCAUUUUCGAUUCUAAGAUCACGGUUCGAUUCGAUUCUCGAUUUUUACAUUUAUUCUUUUUAAAGCACAGAUUGUCAUUUUUCAAACUAGACUUUUAUGCAAUAUAAUAUCUGACCUUUGUUUGCAAUGUACCACACUACAUUGUCAAAUUUAAAACUUUUAUUAACAACAUAAUGUAACAAUAACUUAUAUCUUUAGUCAACUGAAAACUUAAAAUAAACUGCCAUCCAGUUUCUCUUUUGUAAGUGCA